GGGGCGGUAGCUCAGCUGGUUAGAGCACCGGGCUCAUAACCCGUCGGUCCUCAGUUCAAGUCUGAGUCGCCCCACCA
rnacentral:tRNA from 1 species